rnacentral:ncRNA from 2 species
AAAAGAGCUAAGGGGUGUACGCCUAUUUGGGCGUGCUGAGAUUAUACCCUCGGAACCUGCACCAGGUCAUGCUGGCGAAGGAAAAGCUCAUAAAAUAAUC